CGCUGGCGGCGUGCCUAAUACAUGCAAGUCGAACGGUCUUUCUAUGGAAGCUUGCUUCCACUGAGAAGAUAGUGGCGAACGGGUGAGUAACACGUGGGUAACCUGCCCAUAAGAGGGGGGAUAACAUCCGGAAACGGGUGCUAAUACCGCAUAGUUUUCUUGAUCGCAUGAUCGGGAAAGGAAAGACGGCCUUUGUGCUGUCGCUUAUGGAUGGACCCGCGGCGUAUUAGUUAGUUGGUGAGGUAACGGCUCACCAAGACGAUGAUACGUAGCCGACCUGAGAGGGUGAUCGGCCACAUUGGGACUGAGACACGGCCCAAACUCCUACGGGAGGCAGCAGUAGGGAAUCUUCCGCAAUGGACGAAAGUCUGACGGAGCAACGCCGCGUGAGUGAAGAAAAGGUUUUCGGAUCGUAAAACUCUGUUGUCAGAGAAGAACAAGUUGGAGAGUAACUGCUCCAGCCUUGACGGUAUCUGACCAGAAAGCCACGGCUAACUACGUGCCAGCCGCAGC
rnacentral:rRNA from 1 species